UACAGUUUGGUGUUUGUCGGCACGUUAUGUUUUGGUCAUAAGGGGAAUUAGAUGUUAGCUGUAG